CACCAACAUGACUGCUCAGAUGGGAACUCAACAAGGAUGACCAUGAACAUUGACAAUGCCAAACUGGACACAGAUAAGUUCACGAGGCCUUAAGCCGACACAGAGAACUACAGAAGAGCAUCCCUCAAGAAACAGAGCAUGGAGAGCAUAAUUUACCCAUUCUGGAUGACUCAGACCUAUCAUAAUGAACCCUGGACAGAAGGCACAGACAAGAUGAAAUGAAUGAUUCUCAGAAACCAAUCAGACUCACCUGUAUAAGAAUAUAACAAAUCAGCUUCCAUCCAGUUACAAUGGUUAUCUCAAGCUGCAAGAGUAUGUUUAAAGACUCAGGACUAGGAGACAUCUUCCCAUACACUGGAUUUCCCAUUCAAGAUUUCCAUACUCCUUCUAGGGCAACAUGGUUUUCAUCUGUGGUAUAGUAUACUAGCCUGUACUAUUAGAAGUUCCUUCUGAAUUUAGGAGAAGGUCAGCCUUCUUGCUAUUCCCUCUAAAAGUAAUGUAUAAAUGGAAAACCCUCUGCUGCUGUUCACAUUGACUUAGAUUUUUCUUGCUUAUUUCUGUUACAUCUGCUUGCAAUGCACAGAGGUAAAGAGAGAAUCAAUU